rnacentral:rRNA from 1 species
UACGUAGGGUGCGAGCGUUGUCCGGAAUUAUUGGGCGUAAAGAGCUCGUAGGCGGUUUGUUGCGUCGGCCGUGAAAACUUGGGGCUUAACUCCGAGCUUGCGGUCGAUACGGGCGGACUCGAGUUCGGCAGGGGAGACUGGAAUUCCUGGUGUAGCGGUGAAAUGCGCAGAUAUCAGGAGGAACACCGGUGGCGAAGGCGGGUCUCUGGGCCGAUACUGACGCUGAGGAGCGAAAGCGUGGGGAGCGAACAGG